ACGGCCAUACCACAUUGAAAACACCGGUUCUCGUCCGAUCACCGAAGUUAAGCAAUGUCGGGCCCGGUUAGUACUUGGGAGGGUGACCACCUGGGAACACCGGGUGCUGUAGGCU
rnacentral:rRNA from 1 species